rnacentral:tRNA from 1 species
UCCCAGAUAGUCCAGUGGCUAAGACUCUGCAUUCCCAAUGCAGGGGUCCUGGGUUCAAUCCCUGGUAGGGAA